UGAGGAAUAUUGGUCAAUGGACGCAAGUCUGAACCAGCCAUACCGCGUGAAGGAUGAAGGCCUUCUGGGUUGUAAACUUCUUUUAUCUGGGAAGAAACCCCCGAUUUCUAUUGGGGCCGACGGUACCAGAGGAAUAAGCACCGGCUAACUCCGUGCCAGCAGCCGCGGUAAUACGGAGGGUGCAAGCGUUAUCCGGAUUUACUGGGUUUAAAGGGUGUGUAGGCGGGCAGAUAAGUCAGUGGUGAAAUCUCCGAGCUCAACUUGGAAACUGCCAUUGAUACUAUUUGUCUUGAAUAUUGUUGAGGUGGGCGGAAUAUGUCAUGUAGCGGUGAAAUGCAUAGAGAUGACAUAGAACACCAAUUGCGAAGGCAGCUCGCUAAACAAUUAUUGACGCUGAGGCACGAAAGCGUGGGGAUCAAACAGG
rnacentral:rRNA from 1 species